CUCUGUGGUGGUACAGGGUAUUGCAGGCAGACAGUGGCGACACUAGCCAGGUGAAACCCAGGUGAAACUGAAGAACAGACGUUAUCUCACGGUCGGAUAUUGUCACUGUCAUGCAUAAUCUGGAAAUGAAGAUGACCUGUCUCACUCUGGCCUCACAGAAACUGAGUUUAUACCUCGCAACAACAUUCGCAUGAAACAAGCUAGCUUGUUUGUGGGUGUUGCUAAUUAUCAAACCCCUUCUGAAGUUUGAGCCAAGAUGGAGGGCGGAGAUGAGGCCAUCAUAUAGGGACAGUUACCGCCAUGAGAUCGAGGAUAUACAUACGGUAAUGUAAGGAUAUGGACAUCUUCUCCAAAAGAGCAAGAAAGUGGACUUGACAACUAACAUAGGAUUUCAACCUCGGCGAGUCUUGAACUCGUGAGCUUUGAUCGCAAAGCAAGAGAGCAAACUGCUGCUCACUCCUGUCUUUGAGACGGGCCGACAGACAGGCGUUAUCUGGACUCUGGUUAAUGAGGCUCCUCACACUGUGUUUCAUCCCCUGUGGAAUGAGAGCAAUGUCGGACCAGCGAGAGGAAGUCAUCUCAACCCCCCACACCCUCUUUUUUUUGUAUUAAGCCACCUGGAGCCACCAACACACCCUGACAGCACAGAGAAGAAGAAGAAUGAGAGUCCUGGAGAGGUUUUUUCGUGCUGUGUUUCCCCGCGGGCCUCUCGGCUUGCUUUGGCCUCAUCUCAGCUGACUCUCUGCCUGGGAAAAUGUCCCAGUGUAUUCAUAGAGGGAAGGAGCGGGUGAUAAGAGGUGGCAAUGAACACCGUGAGAUAGUGAUAUUUCAUGCUUUAGCACAAU